rnacentral:rRNA from 1 species
GCUUGUCUCAAAGAUUAAGCCAUGCAUGUCUCAGUAUAAGCUUGUGCAUAGUGAAACUGCGAACGGCUCAUUAUAACAGUUAUAAUUUGUUUGGUGUUCAAGUUUACAUGGGUAACUGUGGCAAUUCUAGAGCUAAUACAUGCCUUGAAAAGUCCUGACCUUUAUGGAAGGGAUGCAGUUAUUAGAUACAAAACCAACCCGGGCAACCGGUCCUUUGGUGAUUCAUGAUAACUUUGCGAAUCGCAUAGCUUUAAUGCUGGCGAUGGGUCAUUCAAAUUUCUGCCCUAUCAACUUUCGACGGUAGGAUAGAGGCCUACUGUGGUGAUAACGGGUAACGAAGAAUAAGGGUUCGAUUUCGGAGAGGGAGCCUGAGAAACGGCUACCACAUCCAAGGAAGGCAGCAGG